GACGAAGGUGGCUAGCGUUAUUCGGAUUCACUGGGCCUAAAGCGCGCGUAGGCGGCUCUUCAAGUCGGUGGUGAAAGCCCGCAGCUCAACUGCGGAACAGCCUUCGAUACUGUCGAGCUUGAGUGCAGGAGGGGUGAUCGGAACUCCAGGUGUAGCGGUGAAAUGCGUAGAUAUCUGGAGGAACACCGGAGGCGAAGGCGGAUCACUGGACUGCCACUGACGCUGAGGCGCGAAAGCUAGGGGAGCAAACAGG
rnacentral:rRNA from 1 species